UUACAUGAAUACAAUAAACUUAUCUAGCUCUAAAGUAUUUGUAUUAAAAUCAAAAGGAAACUUGAAGUUUGUUGGACGAGUAUAAUGAAAAGCAUAAUCGUAAGAACUCAUCGUGGAGAUAGGCAAGGCUCCUCCUAAGUCGACCCAAAUGGUUUUCUCUACCCUCACUGUGCAAGAGAUGAAUAGCAAUGCCCUUAAAAAGAGUCUCAAUUUUAAAAAGUUUAAGGUGAGAGUGGUAUGUGACUGUAUCGAGUCUCUUUUUAGUUCAAGUGGACUUUGAAAAAGGUAUGGAUGUAUCUGAUGCUAAAAUUUUACUAUUCAAAAAAGAUUUUGGAAAAGCAUCUCAUUUUAUUAUAAUUAAAGGGAAGAGAAACAAAAUUGAAUAGCCAAACUCAGAACUUUGUGGAGACAUUAGAAGAUGCUCUAAAGCACCCACCCAGCUUUGAGUUCUGUAAAUUUGUAGCUUUGGGAUCUAAAUUUCGACAACUUUUCUUCAAAUUUCCAUGGAAAGAAGAAGUUCCCAUCUUUCAUCACCGCUCUCCAUUUUCCUCAUCUCCUUCCUCUUUUUCUUCUUCAUUUCAUGUAAUGCCUUAUCCCCAGAUCGCAAAUUCAACUCCCCCAGUUCUUAUCGUACUUUAUCGAGCUUACAGAGAAGGAGAGAUCAACAGAUCUCUAAUUGCGGCGAGAAAGUUUCGGCUUUACAGUGUUCCCAGACCCCCAAAUGCCGGUGGUGCCGGAGUGAUAUCAUCGACGAUACCUGCUUCACCAGAGCUGAGGCUUUGAGAUUGCCCCAACAGAUAUGCCUCUGACUGAACGGAUCAUCCUAGGCCCAAUAGAUAGGUAAGAGAAGGUGGUUUGGUUGGCCGAGACCGAGCCUAGAAAAAUAUCAAAGAAGGCAUGCCCCUCGUAACACCCCAACACUGAAAGCCAAGAGGUUAUAAUCCUAAUGCUACAAUAUAUGAAGCCUCAGAGAAAGCCAUAAGUCAACAUCAACUACACUUUUAAUUGCAUCAUGAUAGCUCCAGAGAUGGAUAAAUGAACUCACAUCCAAAAAUUUCCAUUCUUCUACAUAGCUUUCCAUGCUAACUUAAGCAUAAAAUUAGGUUGUGUAGCAAGUAUUCACCCUGAUGUACAUGUCUUUCUUGUCUUCCAAGUAGCAGUUUUUUCUAAACUAUAAAUUCACAGUUAUUACCACAACAUAGAAUCGUAUAUACCUUUCCUAAAUUUUAGCAUCAAGGAUUUUAGGUAUGUGCACUUAUUUUAUUUUAUUGUAAGACUAUAAUUAACCACUUUUAACAGAUGGUAUUGGGAUUUUAUUUUUAUUUUUUUAAAAAAAUUUAGAACCAUAUUCUCAAGGAA